GAGUUGCGAACGGGUGAGUAACGCGUAGGUAACCUGCCUGGUAGCGGGGGAUAACUAUUGGAAACGAUAGCUAAUACCGCAUAACAGUAGAUGUUGCAUGACAUUUACUUAAAAGGUGCAAUUGCAUCACUACCAGAUGGACCUGCGUUGUAUUAGCUAGUUGGUGGGGUAACGGCUCACCAAGGCGACGAUACAUAGCCGACCUGAGAGGAUGACCAGCCACACUGGAACUGAGACACGGUCCAGACUCC
rnacentral:rRNA from 1 species